UCCCGAAACCCUAACUUCGCCCACAUUAUAUAGAAUCACCCCAACAAUCAAAUCUCGAGCAGCCGAAUCCUAUCAAAAUCCCCGCCUUUUUCUAAUUCUAAAACCCAAUUGAUCUCUCAAAUUUCUUCACUUUCUCAAUAGCAUCUCUCUAUGAUCCUCGGUGUUAAUAUAUAAAACAAUAACACAAGGUAGGAUACGAAAAGAUGCAAUAUCGAAGGUACUUCUGGACAUGCAGUUUCCGAUCUAUGGAUUCUCGCAUUUUCUCGUAAGUUCCACAGUUUUAAAAUUUAUUUAUUUUUGCUCAAUGAUGAUUGAUUUGCUUUAACCACACUGAAAAUAGAGAUCUUGGAGUUUGGGUUUUUCGAAGCCUUUUUCUCUAUGGUUUAAGGCGAAUUGCUAAGCUUUUUGUGUUUGAUUGUGGCUUCAUGAUUCUGUUUUCUAAGGGUUGAGGUUAAUGUUCCUUUUGUUACAUAUACUUUUCUUUUGGAUUAUGGAAGAAAGCUUUUUGUCAAACACUUGGAAGUUUUUGGUUUUUUUUGUUGGUCUUAAAUUUAAGAGAAGAAGAAAAACCCUUGCUUUUUUUGAUCUCUGAUGUGGAAAACAUUGGCCUUUCAACUGAGAGCAAUUAAUCGCUUCAUUCUUUGUCUUUUUUUUUAUCCUAAGAUUUUUUGUGUUUCUGAUUUGGACAUUUUUAGUUAUUUCAUCUUUGAUGGUUUUGGCUUCCAAAAAGUGUCCUUGAUAGAAAAAAGCAUUUUGUUUUGAGAAAUUGAUGGAAAUUGGGAAAUGAUGACAGCUUAAUUGCUGGAUAGUAUCUGAGCAAAGCUUUGAAGAUUUUUUUUUUCCUUUUGCACGUCAGUCUGAUUCCAACUUCCAAAACUUUCAUCUCUACCGUUAAAACCGGUUAACAAAUAUCUAGGAUUCAGGGGACGAUGAUGAUAACAUAGAUAGUUCUUUUAGUUGUGGUGCUUCUAACUAUGUUCAGAGAUCUAAAAGGUUUGCAUUUAGAGGUCCUGGAGAGAAUUUGUGUCCAGGAUUUUGAAUUAGGUAAUAUCUAUGGGCGUUGGUUCUUCCUCAAAGGUUAGCUUUUUCUUUUCUUUGGUACUUGUUUUUUAUACUUGAGUUUGAAUUUAGUCAUAGCACUCUAUCAAUUUGUAAAUAAGUAAAGAAGAAUGAAAUGGCAUUACUCUAUGUGCUCCUUGCUAUUGAUACAGUGGACAACGCUGUUUAGUAAUAAUUGAAUGGCAGAUGCGUCGCAUGUUCUUUCCUAAUUUCACACUGCUUAAGAAAUAGGUAAUCAUUUGAAUCCCAGUCCUCCAUAUCGCUUCACUAAUGCAGCCUUUUUGUGUUUGUGCGCUUCCAUAUGAAUCUUGCCCUGCCCUGAUUUAAUUAUACGAGUUACUUUGCUUUUGAUCAUAUUGUUACAUUGCUGCAUCUUUUUAGUUAUACUAUUAUAUGCAUAAAUUUUAAUAUAAAAUUUUCCAAUGAGAUGCCUUAAAUGCAGGGAAUGAAGCUCAUUAUCAAUGGGAUAAUGGCAAGAUUUACCCAUGUACUUCAAUAAAUUUGUCAAUGUAGUAUCUAUACAUUUACAGCAUGUUUGGUUGGCAUGAAUAACUAAACGGCUCCUGGUUGAUUCAGUGAUAAACAGUCAUUUGUUAGUUUGGUUCACUGAAUCCUUCAUUCAACGAAAUCCCAUUCAUGCCCUAUUCCAUCUUCUCCCGUAAUAGCCAUUCCCCACCAGAACCAAAGAAUAGCAAUGCAGAGCCUCCACCGAAUAAAGAAAAAAAAUAACCUCCCAUUUUUGCCCUUCACCCACUCUCCCUCAGCAAACACCUCAAGCCACGACACCCCAUCCCUGUCUCCUCGUUUCCGUUCAAUUAUUCGCAUCCCACGAUAGAGUUUUUGAUUUUGAAUCAGUUACAGAGUUUUUUUAGCAAGAAAAAGAAAAAGAAAACAGAGAUAGGGAAGAUGAGGAAAUCGUUCAAGGAUUCUCUCAAGGCUCUUGAAGCUAACAUUCAUUUCACCAAUACCCUGUAAUUUCUUCUUUCUUUUUCUCUUCCUUGAUUUUUUUGUAGAUGAACAUCAUGAAUUUUUUUCUUUUUGUAGAUAGCAAGGGAUUUCAAUUUCAGGUUGGGAUUGUAUCUACAAAGACUACAAUAUUUUUCUAUUCGCUAAUUACUCUAUCAGUGCAUCAGUGAUUUCCCUUUGGAUUUUUCUCUUGAUUUGGGGUUUCUUUUGUUUUGGUGUUCUUAUUUCAAAAGGCUGCCCUCUACAACUGUAAUGUUGCUGGAACGCCUGCAGUUGUCACUCAUGGAUUGUACCCUGUUGAAACCAUUUCUACUGUUGGCAAAAUUUGUGCAAAGGACUAUCUGGCAGCACCCUCAACAGCUGACCAGUCUUACAUUGUUAUUUUAGAGCAUACAAUUGCAGAGAGAGAACGUAGUGACCACUCUGCGUAUGUGCAAGACAUGAGUGCACAUAAUUUCUUAGAGGUAGGAGCAGCUGCUUUACUUGUUGGAGAUAUGGAAGCAAAAAUGAAUGGCCAGCCCUGGAAAUAUUUUGGCACUGCAUGCCUCAUCUUGAUCAACUCUUACAGCCUUCACCAGUCACAACAAUUGCCAAUUCUGCUUCUGCUCGCUUCCAUUUAAGAGCAAUUACAGCAUUGAAACGCAGUAGAGGAGGACCUCAUCAAAUUUGUACGCUACAUGGAUGACUAUAGUUUUUCCGACGCUACAUGGAUGACUAUAGUUUUUCCGACCAGUAUGACAGCAUAUCUUUAUCUCUACUCUAAUGGAGAAGUAUCAUUGGCUGCCACCCAACCAGUGUAAUAGAUGUCAUUUUACCGUAUAUUAAUUUUUGAGAUCAAUAUGUAAUUUUAUCAUAUCUUAAUUUAUAGUUCCAUCUUUUUUGAAGGUACUAAACAUAUUUUUUUAAUAUUUUAGGGGGCUAAAGUGUAAUUUUACCAUAGAUCAAUUUGUAAUUUUAUUCUUUCUAAA